rnacentral:rRNA from 1 species
AUAACCUCAACUCAGGCAAGACUACCCGCUGAACUUAAGCAUAUCAGUAAGCGGAGGAAAAGAAAACAACUGUGAUUCCCUUAGUAACUGCGAGUGAAGUGGGAAAAGCCCAACGUUUAAUCUUCCUGGACUGUGGACAGGACGACAUGUAACGGUAUGGAUAGGUCUACUACUAACUUAUAUUUGAUUAAAAUACUCCGGAUUGAGAUGCCAUAGAAGGUGACAGCCCUGURUGUAAUCAAAUUAGGUUAGGUAUGUAACCAAUUCCUAGAGUCGGGUUGUUUGGGAUUGCAACCUUAAGUAGGUGGUAAACUCCACCUAAGGCUAAAUAUGGACACGAAACCGAUAGCGAACAAGUACUGUGAGGGAAAGUUGAAAAGAACUCUGAAAAGAGAGUUAAAAGUACGUGAAACCGCUUACGGGGAAGCAGAAGGCAGUGUCGUGAUCUUGUAAGUCAGUUAGUAUAAUAGUAAUAUUAUAUUGAUAAGCUAUACUUGAUGCGUCAAAUCUAUUGGUAUUUAAUAUGAUUCAAUUAUUCUUUAACUAUUAUUAUUCUAAUAGUAGUGUGGCAUCAUUGACACCUAUUAACAUUUGUUUAUAGGCUCAAUGUUGCAUAGAAUAAUCCAUCAUAUAUACUAAUAUGUAUUGYAAUGAAGCGUUAGUGAUAAUAAUUUAUUAUUAUCGGUUAAUUAUAUAUAAUAUAUGUAUAUAUUGUUUAUAUUUUAAUCAUAUAUGUGUAUUUAUAUGUAUAUUAAUAGCUAAUGCUAGUAUUUGACGAGAUACCUAACUUUCUGACCCGUCUUGAAACACGGACCAAGGAGGCAGAAUCUAGAGCAAGUUGGAGGGUGUUAAACCCGACGGCAUAGUGAAAGCAAGAGAUGAGAUCUAUUGAUUACGAUUAAUAGCGCAUCAUCGGCCAGUCUUCAUUAUUAUAUAUGUUGAUUGAGUUUGAGCUCUAGAUGCUGAACCCGAAAGAUGGUGAACUAUACGUGAGCAGGGUGAAGCCAGAGGAAACUCUGGUGGAGGCUCGAAGCGAUUCUGACGUGCAAAUCGAUCGUUAGACUUGCGUAUAGGGGCGAUAGACUAAUCGAACCAUCUAGUAGCUGGUUCCCUUCGAAAUAUCCCUCAGGAUCGCUGAGACAGGUGUUGAUAUAUAUGGAAACAGUUUCAUCGGGUAGAGCGAAUGAUUAGAGGAAUCGGGGAUAUAUUACUCUCGACCUAUUCUCAAACUAUCAACCGGUGAUUAUACAUUAUUUGUUAUUAGACUUGAUUGAAAUAGUGUGUAUGAAUGUUUCUGUCUCAAGUGGGCCAUUUUUGGUAAGCAGAACUGGCGAUGCGGGAUGAACCGAGAGUUAAGCUAAGGUGCCUAAGAACACGCUGAUAGAUACCACAAAAGGAGUCGGUCGAUAAAGACAGCAGGGCGGUGGCCCUGAAAGUAGGAA